UAGGGAAUCUUCGGCAAUGGGGGGAACCCUGACCGAGCAACGCCGCGUGAGUGAAGAAGGUUUUCGGAUCGUAAAGCUCUGUUGUUAAGGAAGAACGAGUGUGAGAAUGGAAAGUUCAUACUGUGACGGUACUUAACCAGAAAGGGACGGCUAACUACGUGCCAGCAGCCGCGGUAAUACGUAGGUACCGAGCGUUGUCCGGAUUUAUUGGGCGUAAAGCGAGCGCAGGCGGUUAGAAAAGUCUGAAGUGAAAGGCAGUGGCUCAACCAUUGUAGGCUUUGGAAACUGUUUAACUUGAGUGCAGAAGGGGAGACUGGAAUUCCAUGUGUAGCGGUGAAAUGCGUAGAUAUAUGGAGGAACACCGGUGGCGAAAGCGGCUCUCUGGUCUGUAACUGACGCUGAGGCUCGAAAGCGUGGGGAGCGAACAGG
rnacentral:rRNA from 1 species